ACUGAGACCUAGACAACCAGGUGAGGGGAGUUCCUUACUGAGACCUAGACAACCAGGUGAGGAGAGUUCCUUACUGAGACCUAGACAACCAGGUGAGGGGAGUUCCUUACUGAGACCUAGACAACCAGGUGAGGGGAGUUCCUUACUGAGACAACCAGGUGAGGGGAGUUCCUUACUGAGACCUAGACAACCAGGUGAGGGGAGUUCCUUACUGAGACAACCAGGUGAGGGAGUUCCUUACUGAGACCUAGACAACCAGGUGAGGGGAGUUCCUUACUGAGACCUAGACAACCAGGUGAGGAGAGUUCCUUACUGAGAC
ensembl:lncRNA